UACGGAGGGGGCUAGCGUUGUUCGGAAUUACUGGGCGUAAAGCGCACGUAGGCGGCUUUUUAAGUCCGCCGUCAAAUCCCAGGGCUCAACCCUGGACAGGCGGUGGAAACUACCAAGCUGGAGUACGGUAGGGGCAGAGGGAAUUUCCGGUGGAGCGGUGAAAUGCGUAGAGAUCGGAAAGAACAUCAACGGCGAAAGCACUCUGCUGGGCCGACACUGACACUGAGAGACGAAAGCUAGGGGAGCGAAUGGG
rnacentral:rRNA from 1 species